GCAUUUUUUUUUUCCCCUCACAGUUUUACUUCAGUAGUUUACUGUAGGACAAUCUGGCAAACGUUAUAGAAGAGGCAACUGCUUAAAGACAUUUUAGUAUUAGACCUUUACUUGGCACUGGUCUAUCCAAUGUAUAUAUGGUGGUUAUUAGCAAAGUACACAAAACUGUGGAAAUGGCAAAAGACAUUUUCAAAAGUCAGU